GGAGGGGUACCCGAGUGGUCAAAGGGAGCAGACUGUAAAUCUGCCGGCGCAGCCUUCGAAGGUUCGAAUCCUUCUCCCUCCA
rnacentral:tRNA from 1 species